GCGACGAUCGCAUAGCCUGGCCAUUGCGCCGGAUUGCUAAUCCGGUGGGUUUUCCCACGGGAGUUCGAAUCUCCCUCGUCGCGCCA
rnacentral:tRNA from 2 species